UGAGCCCUUCACAACCACCUAAGUUGCUCUCAGGAGAGGCCUUUGGUCUUUUAGUUGUGCAUAAACCCCUGCAUCCAUCACACCACAACCUGUUCCAGUGCAAACACCAAACAGCACUCUGUGAGCUGGAAAAACAUGGAAUCCUGGGAUGGGUUUGGUCAGAAGGGAUCUUAGAAACCAUCCAGUUCCAACCCCCUGCCAUGGGAAGGGACACCUUCCACUGGACCAGGUUGCUCCAAGCUGUGUUGAACACCUCCAGGAGUGAGGAAUCCACAACCUCUCUGGGCAAUCAGUCCCUCCUGGCCAAGACUGUGCUCAGUGUGGAUAAACAGAGUGGAUUCCAGUGGGAGUCCUCACACCAGAGGUUUAUUGACCCUCACACCAGUGGUUUAUUGACCCUCACACCAGAGGUUUAUUGACCCUCACACCAGUGGUUUAUUGACCCUCACACCAGAUGUUUAUUGACCCUCACACCAGAUGUUUAUUGAUCCUCACACCAGAGGUUUAUUGAUCCUCACACCAUGCUAAGGAAGCAAAACCACUGUGCUUUGCCCUGGCACACUGUAAAAUAUUUAUCAGAGGGAAGACUGAGAAAGAACUAUGGGCUGACCAAAGUCAACACAAGAGAUGUUGUGACCAUGGGUUUGCCUGUCCCCUCUGUGAUGAGCAUCAUCCCCUGCCAUCAGAUCAGCUCAGCCACCAGAAACAACUCACUGAGCUUUCAAAUGACCAGAGGUGAUCAAAUUAAAACCUAAUUUCCCUGCCAAUCUGACUCACUUAACUCCUUUGCAAUGAAAAGACAUCAAGCUCCACGUGGUUGGUUGUUGAGCACCCACCAGCACGGUGGUGGCAGGCUCUGAGGUCACCUUCCAAAUGGGAACAAGAUCUUCAAAGGACAAGCAAUCCCCUCAGAUGGCAGCUGUAAAUCUGAUGUGCUGCAGGUCAGCACCAUCCCAACACAAGGUGCAUUCCCUCCCCACCACAAGGCUGGUUGUGGAACAUGUGGCAAGGUCUACAUUUCACAGCCACAGGACAGACAAUGUGGGUGUGAAACGAUAAAAAUGUCCUCAAAGUACUCUGUGAA